rnacentral:lncRNA from 1 species
GUUAAAGAUGCAUGAACUGAAUAAUUAAAUUCCAGGCCCCCUCCCCCCAAAGCUCAAAAUCUACGUGAACAUGUUUCAUCUCCUUCUAGAACAUAUUUUAUUUUUGACAUUCCUUUAAUGCAUGUAGAAUUCUGUAUACAGCACAAUCAGAAUUCCUUUGUGCCAAGGCUCUAUUGUAUGAUACUACCACCGAGCAAGUGCUAUGAUAUUUUAGGCUAAAGCACAUUUGUAGCAUCUGUAUAUGUGUUCGUGUCCAAUACACUCAUGUUUACAUCUAUACUUCCAUUUGAAAAUAAGAUUCUUAAUCAUUUGUUCCAGAACCUUAAAAAUGAGAGAUAUUGCAAUACACUAAUAAACCUUAUGGAACAGGCACACCUGUGUUCUUUAAGGUCAGAAAGAAAGAGUCUGAAAGUUUGAAAGUAAAUACCUUUUUUACUUUGAAAAAAAAAAAAGAUAGCUGUAUGAAUUUUUGUCCCAUCAAGUUUUACCUCUGUGACAUGUGGGUACUUGCAGAUGACUUAGAAAACAGAAAUAACUGAGGUGCUGAUUUGACUUGCCUUGAGGAAGUGGACGUUCUGUAAAAGAUGGUUUUUAUUUGCCUUUGGAAGUAAAAGGAAAUAGAAGAUCCUGGAGGUCGUUGCCGAUUUCACUUUAUCUCAUUUUCAUUAUAGCCUAAUAAUCAGUAUGGAACUUUACACAUCCACUUUUUCAAACUUGUAGUCCCGAA